GCACAGGCCCAUUGUCGGCAUGAGGA
rnacentral:piRNA from 1 species